UACGAGGGGGGCAAGCGUUGUUCGGAAUUAUUGGGCGUAAAGGGCGCGUAGGCGGUGCGGUAAGUCUGAUGUGAAAUCUCCGGGCUCAACUCGGAGUCUGCAUCAGAAACUGCCGUGCUUGAGUGUGGGAGAGGUGAGUGGAAUUCCCGGUGUAGCGGUGAAAUGCGUAGAUAUCGGAAGGAACACCAGUGGCGAAGGCGGCUACCUGGCAUGAUACUGACACUGAGGCGCGAAAGCGUGGGGAGCAAACAGG
rnacentral:rRNA from 1 species